GACGCUAUAUUUAGGAUGGUACGUGAUUUUGGUGGCGGUGGAGCGGAAAUUAUCUACCCGCCAUACUUCUGCUUUCAAGUGCUAGCUUACGCUAGGUGUGCUAACGUCAAGAUUAGCUGACGCGAACGUCAACAGCUGGUAGCAGGAUAACUCAGUUACAGGGGCCCUCUAAAGGUUCCUGUGCCUAACUUGUGUCGGCGUGGGAGAAGCAGCACCGACGAAGACUUUGACAUGUUUUGUUCUGCAGUGUCCGAGGCCAAAUGGAGUGUGACAACCAGGAGAUGUGCUACCUGAGAUUUCAUAUGUGUCAGUACUGUACCAGGACAUUGCGAGGACACCCGUUCAGCUGUGGGAUCUGUGCUGUGAGGCAGGUCAGGGGUCCAAGUGCACACAGGAUGGAGUCCAGAAGAACAGACAGACUCCCGGAGACAGCAACCAUCCCCUAACACCAAAGAGCCAGUGACAAAAAUAUCAUUAAAAUCAAAUGCAGCGCGCA